rnacentral:snRNA from 1 species
GUGCUCACUUCGGCAGCACAUAUGCUAAAAUUAGAACCUUACAGAGAUUAGCAAGGCCCCUGAGCAAGGAUGACACACAAAUUCAUGAAGCAUUCCAUAUUAAA